UUGAGAUAUUGAGUCAUGUAAACAAGAGAGUGAAGCACCAGCAUGAAAUUGGUUUGCCGUUGUUGGACUUAUGGAAAUUGUACACCGACCCUGCUGCUUCUCCUAUGGUUAGGAAUUUUGUAUCGUGUAUGUUGAGAUGGCUUUUGAACGAGCUCCUGCUAAGGAAAGAGAGGAUAUUGCACCUAAGACACUGGAGAAUGUUUCGAAGCUUCCUCAGCAGCACCAGGAGAUUGUUUUGAGAUUUGUCAUUAAGGUUAUUGGAGAGUGUCAUGCGAAGCCAGAUCAGUGAUGAUGUCUCUGUAAAGUAUAGAUCUCUGAUUGCUUCUCAGGAUAAAGAAUUGUUUCUGGAUUUUUGCCUUCAUAUGCUUUUGUAUCAACCAGUUCUUCAAGGAGGAGGAUCUCCUCCUGGGCUUUCAGUUUUUCAAGUUAAUCGCAUCAUGAGAAAGCAAGCAUUGAAAGGGGACAUACUUACGAAGAGAAAGUUGGGGAUCUUGAAUGUCAUUGGAACCAUGGACCUGCCUGGUGAAUCCGUAUAUCCAUUCUACAUUGCUGCAUCAGUGGAUAGGUAUGCUUUAUGUUUUUUGCCAGAUGACAUGCUUUGUUAUUGUCACAUGACAUGAAAUACUUUUCUACCUUCGUGGAACCAUGAACCUUCCUGGUGAAUCCGUAUAUCCAAUGUUUUUUUUUUUAUCACUGUCCUUCUGCAAUUCAUUUCUACUCUUCAUGUCUCUGAGAGUUGGUAUGAAUUUUUUGGUUAAAAUUCAUUCAAGUCAAGAACCUGUAGCUAAAAGAGGGGAGGAGCUUCUAAAAAAGAAAGCUUCUGAAACAAAUUUGGAUGAUCCCAAGUUGAUAAACAGACUGUUCGUACUAUUCAAUGUUACGUGAUCCUUUUAUUUUUCCAACAUUUUAAUAAAUUUUUCUUUGACACUCAAAUCAUUUAUAUUCUAGGAAAGCUUAAAUGUGAUAUUAUUUAAUCCAUUCCUAGGACCAGGUCUAUGUCUCCUGCAAGGUUAAAUGGUUGUAAUUAAGUUUUCUUCUGCUACUCGUGGAUGACAUGACUAGGUCUUAUCCUUGAGUAUGUAGACUCUAUUGUAAUACAGAUUCGUAUAUAUUUUGGGAAUUCUGGAGUGUUGAGGGUUUCUUCUCGUGUUUAAGUAUUUAUUUUCCUUGUCCAUGCUAAAU